GACCACAGUGGGCCUGAAUAAAGCCCAUGACGAUUGUCACAGCAGUGAGGAAUAUUGGUCAAUAGCCUAACGGCUGAACCAGCAACUUGGAGGAAUGUAUAGCAAUAGCUACUUGCAUCAUUCUAAAUAUGAUGCAAGAUCGACUAUGUCGAAUAAAAUUCUAGGUAGAAUUAUGAUAAUGACAUUGUCUGCCUAUGUGUCUUGACCAAAUUACGUGCCAGCAGUCGCGGUAAUACGUAGAAGACUAGUGUUAUUCAUGUUUAAUCGGUUUAAAGGGUACCUAGACGGUAAAUCAAGCCUAAAAGGAAAUAAAUGAAGGGACUAAUUUACUAGAGUUACUUAUGAGGGGGUAUUAAAGUCUGCUGGUGUAGAGAUGAAAUUCUGCAUACCUCUUUUCAAUAG
rnacentral:rRNA from 1 species